rnacentral:rRNA from 1 species
AGUGAACGCUGGCGGUAUGCCUAACACAUGCAAGUCGAACGGCAGCACAGUAAGAGCUUGCUCUUACGGGUGGCGAGUGGCGGACGGGUGAGGAAUACAUCGGAAUCUACUUUUUCGUGGGGGAUAACGUAGGGAAACUUACGCUAAUACCGCAUACGACCUACGGGUGAAAUCAGGGGAUCUUCGGACCUUUCGCGAUUGAAUGAGCCGAUGUCGGAUUAGCUAGUUGGCGGGGUAAAGGCCCACCAAGGCGACGAUCCGUAGCUGGUCUGAGAGGAUGAUCAGCCACACUGGAACUGAGACACGGUCCAGACUCCUACGGGAGGCAGCAGUGGGGAAUAUUGGACAAUGGGCGCAAGCCUGAUCCAGCCAUACCGCGUGGGUGAAGAAGGCCUUCGGGUUGUAAAGCCCUUUUGUUGGGAAAGAAAAGCAGCAGGUUAAUCCCCCGCUGUUCUGACGGUACCCAAAGAAUAAGCACCGGCUAACUUCGUG